rnacentral:rRNA from 1 species
UACAGAGGGUGCGAGCGUUGUCCGGAAUCACUGGGCGUAAAGGGCGCGUAGGUGGCUCGUUAAGCGUGUGGUGAAAGCCUGGGGCUCAACCCCAGGUCUGCCGUGCGAACUGGCGAGCUUGAGAGUAGUAGAGGCGGGUGGAAUUUCGGGUGUAGCGGUGGAAUGCGUAGAUAUCCGAAAGAACACCGGUGGCGAAGGCGGCCCGCUGGGCUAUUUCUGACACUGAUGCGCGACAGCGUGGGGAGCAAACAGG